CUACGGGACGCAGCAGUGGGGAAUAUUGGACAAUGGGGGAAACCCUGAUCCAGCAAUGCCGCGUGUGUGAAGAAGGCCUGCGGGUUGUAAAGCACUUUCGGUUGGGAGGACUGCUUCUAGCACUAAUAUUGUUGGAAGUUGACGUUACCUUCAGAAGAAGCACCGGCUAACUCCGUGCCAGCAGCCGCGGUAAUACGGGGGGUGCAAGCGUUAAUCGGAAUUACUGGGCGUAAAGCGCGCGUAGGCGGCUAGAUCAGUCGGGUGUGAAAGCCCCGGGCUUAACCUGGGAACUGCGUCCGAUACUGGCUAGCUUGAGUACAGGAGAGGAGAGUGGAAUUCCACAUGUAGCGGUGAAAUGCGUAGAUAUGUGGAGGAACACCAAUGGCGAAGGCAGCUCUCUGGCCUGAUACUGACGCUGAGGUGCGAAAGCGUGGGGAGCAAACAGGAUUAGAUACCCGGGUAGUC
rnacentral:rRNA from 1 species